AGAGUUUGAUCCUGGCUCAGAGCGAACGCUGGCGGCAGGCCUAAUACAUGCAAGUCGAGCGCCCUUUCGGGGGAGCGGCGGACGGGUGAGUAACGCGUGGGAACGUGCCCUUUGGUUCGGAACAACACAGGGAAACUUGUGCUAAUACCGAAUGUGCCCUUCGGGGGAAAGAUUUAUCGCCAUUGGAGCGGCCCGCGUUGGAUUAGGUAGUUGGUGGGGUAAAGGCCCACCAAGCCUACGAUCCAUAGCUGGUCUGAGAGGAUGAUCAGCCACACUGGGACUGAGACACGGCCCAGACUCCUACGGGAGGCAGCAGUAGGGAAUCUUGCGCAAUGGGCGAAAGCCUGACGCAGCCAUGCCGCGUGAAUGAUGAAGGUCUUAGGAUUGUAAAAUUCUUUCACCGGGGAAGAUAAUGACGGUACCCGGAGAAGAAGCCCCGGCUAACUUCGUGCCAGCAGCCGCGGUAAUACGAAGGGGGCUAGCGUUGCUCGGAAUUACUGGGCGUAAAGGGCGCGUAGGCGGAUAGUUUAGUCAGAGGUGAAAGCCCAGGGCUCAACCCUGGAAUUGCCUUUGAUACUGGCUAUCUUGAGUUCGGGAGAGGUGAGUGGAACUCCGAGUGUAGAGGUGAAAUUCGUAGAUAUUCGGAAGAACACCAGUGGCGAAGGCGACUCACUGGCCCGAUACUGACGCUGAGGCGCGAAAGCGUGGGGAGCAAACAGGAUUAGAUACCCUAGUAGUCC
rnacentral:rRNA from 1 species